CGCGGCCUAUCAGCUUGUUGGUGAGGUAAUGGCUCACCAAGGCGACGACGGGUAGCCGGCCUGAGAGGGCGACCGGCCACACUGGGACUGAGACACGGCCCAGACUCCUACGGGAGGCAGCAGUGGGGAAUAUUGCACAAUGGGCGAAAGCCUGAUGCAGCGACGCCGCGUGAGGGAUGACGGCCUUCGGGUUGUAAACCUCUUUCAGCAGGGAAGAAGCGAAAGUGACGGUACCUGCAGAAGAAGCGCCGGCUAACUACGUGCCAGCAGCCGCGGUAAUACGUAGGGCGCAAGCGUUGUCCGGAAUUAUUGGGCGUAAAGAGCUCGUAGGCGGUCUGUCGCGUCGGAUGUGAAAGCCCGGGGCUUAACCCCGGGUCUGCAUUCGAUACGGGCAGACUAGAGUGUGGUAGGGGUGAUCGGAAUUCCUGGUGUAGCGGUGAAAUGCGCAGAUAUCAGGAGGAACACCGGUGGCGAAGGCGGAUCUCUGGGCCAUUACUGACGCUGAGGAGCGAAAGCGUGGGGGGCGAACAGGAUUAGAUACCCUGGUAGUCCACGCCGUAAACGGUGGGAACUAGGUGUUGGCGACAUUCCACGUCGUCGGUGCCGCAGCUAACGCAUUAAGUUCCCCGCCUGGGGAGUACGG
rnacentral:rRNA from 1 species